CCGCUGCCACUGCUGCUCGGCCGUCAGCCGCUUGCGUUGUUUCUGGAUCUGCAGAGGCGGGAGACGUGGGAGGCAGUGAGUGGAGGUCCGCGAUCGCGGGGUGCCCGGCCCGCGUGUCCCGCACCCCACCCUGAUGCAGGGUUUCACUAUGCUGUUCAGGCUGGCCUUGAACUCCCUGAGGCUCAGGCUGACCUCAGACUCGCUACCAUCCUCUUGCCUCAGUCUCCUGAGUGCUGGGAUUACAGGGAUCGAACUGAGGGCCUUGUGCACAUUAGAGAAAAGAAACAAGAUAAUGAAAGGCGGUAACAUGACCAUGAGUAGGACAAUCCUAUCUGAAGCCAACACCUUGAUAUUUGGAUCAUUAAAGGUAAAAGAAAAUUCUUCCACUGCCUCCUGGUAAUAGAAUCAGAGACUUGAGGGAAAAAAAUGAAACAAAAAAACAAAGGAAACACAAAAAAACCUCAGAGACUUGGUUCAAACUUCAAUUUUAGACAUAUGAUAAAGAAGAAAGGGAGACACUUAGACUAAUAGAAAAUUCUUCAUAUACCACACCCUUAAAGGCAACCAGAAAAAUCAUAUUUUAUAGACUAAUCAUGCAAACAAAAAAAGAUUCUCAAACCACACCAUGCCACUUUUUGUUUCUCUUUAUUCAGAUUUCCUAGCUGCUUCUGGUGAUUACAGCACGUCAGAUCUUUCUUUCAUUAAUUGUGAAACCAGCUACCUUUCAGAUUUCUCUCUCCUCAAUCAUCUUACCCCCUUCAAAUCUUUACCAUAUGUUUCCUACGUUAGUCCAUUUCUCAUUCCCCCCAAAGAUCUCACCCUAAUCCUACCCUGGGCUUUCAUACCAGCUCCAUAUCUCUCUCCUCCAGGAUAGCAUGCCUACUGUGAGGCUGAGGCACUGUAAAGUGAGCUCUCUGACUGUGGCUAAUCACUUCCAAAGGAAAGACAGGUUCCCAACCUUCCCGGUUCUGAACUUCCAUAGCUUUUACUAGAACAAGAGUUUCAACCUCUGGCACUGAAGAUAGAGGGUACUGACUGUAAGCAUUGAAGCCAACCUAUAGGGGCAACCAAUCCUAGCUGACAUCCCAAAGGGAAAUGGAGGGGACAAUCCUUCCACCACAGGGAACUGAACCCUACCCUAGCUAUAUGAGCUUGGAAAAUACUGGGCUCCAGAUAAGCACAUGAUCUGACCUUGAUAUCAGUGAGAUUCUGAGCAGAGAACCCAGUCAUGUCACGCCCAGAUUUCUGACCUAGAGAACUGUGAGCAAAUAUGCAUGUGUCUCAAGUACCUGAAUUAUAUUAACUGAUUACAAAGUAACAGGAAACUAAUGUGGCCUCUUCAUUAUGGUCUUUUCAUGUACUCAACAUUCAGACCGUGCAAAUCAUGUGUUGAGGUCAGAUUUUCAUGGCCACAUAUAUGAAAUGAUACUCUUCUCUUGAUGAUGUUAUGCAUAAUACAGAACACGCUCCCACCUUCAUUAUUCUUAUAAAAGCCAGAAAGAAGAGCUUACUGUGAAGGGGCAGCCACAUGAUGAACGGCUGCACUAGGGUGAGUUUGCAGCUGCUAGAUGACCUCAGGCAGGUCCCUGGAGCUUUCUGAGUCUGAAUUUCCCUAUCUCUAAAAUUGGAGGUUGUGGUCUUUGAGGUUUCUUCUUUGAGGUUCCUCCUAAGGAAGUCUAUGAUUCUUUAUGGAUCAAAAGUGAAGCCAAUUUCUUAUUUAACUUCCUAUGCCAAGGAAUUCACCUUGUCUCCACUCCUAAUAGUUGGAACAACUGCUUGUCAUUUAUUGGGUGAAGAAAGGGGUUGUCCAAUCCUUUACCUCAUUUGACAGGACAAGGGACUUUGAACAUCCUGCCUUUUUACAGCAGCACGGAGGAAGCUAGUACUCUAACAGGGACCUUCAGCACACAGUCCAAGGCUUUGUUACUAAUAUUCUAAUGGGAAAAAGGUGAUAAGAACAUGGUAUUCUGUAUAUAAUUUACUCUCUCAUUCUUGCAUAGGGUUGAGCCCACCAUCACCAGCUCUUUUCUUUAUACUUUUGAAUCAGGACUGACUUGAGUUGCAUAAGCUGGGCUCUAACUAGCAAUUCUCCUAUCUCAGCUUCACACAGUGCUGGGAUUACAGGUGUGCACCACCAUGCUUAUCUACCAAACUUUUUUUUUGUCUUUUUCAUUUUUAUUGGUACCGGGGAUCGAACUCACGACCGCCUGCUUGCAAGGCAGGUGCUUAUGCCACUGAGCUAAACCCCCAGCCCCUACCAAACUUUUUUUAAAAUCGGUACUGGGGAUUGAACUCACAACCAUGCGCUUGCAAGGCAGGUGCUUAUGCUGCUUAGCUAAAUCCCCAGCCCCUACCAUGCCUAUCUAAACAUUGAUAUAUGUAUAUUUUCUUAAGUUGGCCGUGUAGCUCUCAAAAUACCACCACACAAACAGAAAAAGAAUAAUUUUACUAAUGAAUCAAAAUGAACCAAGAUGCUAUAAAAUGCCAUAGUUUUUAUUCUACAAGUAAAAUUUGCUGGGCCAGUCAAAAAGACUUUGACUUCUUCCUUGGCAACUUGUGACCUGGUAUCAUCCCUUUCCAUUCUUUUCCUCUUCACUGCCAACAGCCCUUUUGAUGGAUCCACCCUAGUUUAAACUCUGUAGUCUCACUGUAUAAUAUUAUUAGACUAUCUAUGGAGAAUGAGCUUCUUUGACACUUGCUAAAAUAUUACGUAUGGCUUCUACACAUUUCAUUUUUUAAUGCAUAUUUCUUCUCUGUGACUUAUGUAUUACUUAUAUAACACGAAGGUUGGCAUCCCAUCAAGAGGGACUUUUCUAUGGUUCAGUGUCUGAAGUAAAAAGGAAAGAAUGAACCAGAUAUGGUGGUACAUGGCUAUAAUUGCAGCACUUUGGGUGGCUGAGACAGGAGGAUAACAAGUUCAAGGCUAGCCUGGGUGACUUAGUAACUUGGUGAGAACUUGUCUCAAAAAAAAAAGGCUGGGAUUGUAGCUCAGUGUAAAGGCUCUCAGGACUAUAAAAUAAAACAACAAUAACAAAGAAUGGAAUGAAAUGAAUGAAGAAAGUGGGUAAAUGAAAUCAGUCUGUGCUUAAUUAUAGUUAUAUCAAAAGAAUUCCCUCUGACCUUUUUACAGUACACAUGUGUAUCUAUAUAAUUCAUUAUGCCUAUAUGUGACAAAAUGACUUGUUUUCAUUGAUACAGAUGAAUUUUUGGUAACAAAGCUGGUACAAACCAGAUUUAAAAAUUGUGUCCGUGAACCUAAAUGUCAGCAUCACUGCUGAUUCCCAUGCAAAUCCAUAUUAAUUAUGCAUUUUCAAAUGAGAAUGACAGCUUAAAGGUUCCCAGGGUUUAGCUGUUACAAUUUCCAGCAAAGCAUAUCUGAAUUUAAGUAAUAAAAGAAACUUCUGACAUCAUUGUACAAAAGAUUAAGUUUAAGUUCCACUUGCGAUAUAGAUAUCUGAUUUUACAUUCUCAAUAAAGUAUCAUAUAAUGGAAAGAUUUUUAGUUUUCUGUUAUAAAGAGCCAACCUUUUCUUUUAAUGAUAAAAGUUUAUUUACAAAAGAAUAAAUCAGGGUUACAACUGUGAAUUGGUUUUAAACUGCCAGAGAAAAUCUUGAUUUGGGGCUUGUUGUUCCAUGUAGCAUCCAGCAAUAGGUGCUUGCAGAUACUCAUGGCUUGAAUGACUGUGAGACACACUUGUCACACGUACUAUUCGAUAUGCAUCUGAGUCAUGAGCAUGAGUCACCUGCAAACUAAAAAGCUGGCCUCUGAGGCCUGCGAUGCCAGAGAAACACUUACCGUCAGUUCGGUCCACCAUGACCGUGUGGCAGACUGCGAGCAAGAAGAAGAACUGCCGGAUUUCUGGCUCCUUCCCUGAUAAUAUUUGCUCAAUGAGAUAAUGGUCAUAAAAUUGAAGCUUCCCAUCAGCAAAUGUAUUCCAGCUAAAAUCAACUUGCUGAAAGGAGUGGAGAAAGAAAUGUGAUUUAAGAAAAAUAUUUCUGUGUUAACAACCCUUUUGAAGUUUUUAAUUAUGCAAAAGCCACCUUAAAAUUUGAGCACAUUCUUGACUAAAGUGUUAGAGGCUUACAUCUGUCUUACAGUAAAAAGCACCCUGCAGUGGGUUGAACUAUGUCCCCCAAAAGGUCUGUCCAAGUCCUAAACCCAAAAUCUUAUGAUCAUGACCUUGUUUGGAAAUAGGGUUUUCUCAGCGGUGAUCAUGAUGAGGUAAUAUUGGAUUAGAAUGGGAGGCCGAAUGUCCUUAUAAGAGAGAAAUUUGGACACAGAGAUGAAGACAUUGGGAGAACACCGUGUGACAACAAAAGCAGAGACUGGAGCCUUAUAACAAGCCAGAGAACACCAAGGAUUCCUGACAGCCACAAUAGCUGGGAAGAGGCAAGAAAGGAUGCUUUCCUGGAACUUUCACUCUGCUGACACCUGGAUUGCAAGCUCUUGGCCUCUACAACUUCAAGAGAACAAAUUUCUGCUGUUUUAAUACACAGUAAUUUGUUAAGGCAGCUCUAGGAAAUGAAUACAUAUUCCGAACAGUUCCUUAAAUUGAAGAACCCACCUCUAUUUUGCUGUGACUAUGUUGAGAUGCAUCUCGAUGAUCUCCUAGGAAACAAAUAAGACAAAACAUAUUGAGUCUUCACCUGUGACUAGAGUCCCCUCUGCCCUCCAACCUAGCUUUGCAUACUUGGUGAUAGUGUGGGUCUUGUAGCAUGUAUUUGGAUGAUUCUAGAGUUAACCAUGGUUUUCACAUUUUUCAAGAGUUGGGCAAAAUAAAGACUAUUUGAUAGAGACCAUGUAUUGCCUGCAGAGGCUAAACGUUUGCCACCUGGCUUUUUACAGAAAAUGUUUGCUAUCCCUGGGUCCAGGUGUUCAAAUACUGGUACCUGUCCCUCUAUACUCCACUGGGACCUUUACCUAACUCUCCUUGGAGGGACUGCCACCACUAAUGGGAUCACAUCAUCCACCCCUGUGUCCAGCUUCCUUACUGAUGUGAAAAUGCAUUCAGAGAGUAAAGUUUUCUCUAAGUGGAAAGAAUAUGCAUGUGCCUGUAACCUUUUUAAAAAACUGUAUUGUCAUUAUUUAAAAAUUAGAGCACUCUGUUUCAAUACAGCAUUAGUUUUAGUAUUAUUUGUAAGCAUAAGCUGUGUUUCAGAAAAUUAGAAUGGAAGUUAAUGUUUAAAAAAUUGUGUUGAAUCACACAAAAUAUAAAAUUUACUAUUGCAGUCAUUUUUCAAGUGUACAGUCCAGCAGCAUGAAAUACAUCCCUAACGCUGUGAAACCACCAUCUAAACUCAGAACUGUGUUUAUCUUCUAUAAUUGACACUCUAUGCCCAUUAAAUAGCAACUUCCUAUUCCCUACCUCCUGCUAAUCAAUAUUCUAUUUUGUUUCUAUGAGUUUGAUUACUCUAAGUUGAAUCAUACAUGUAUAUUUGUCUUUUAUGAUUGGAUUAUUUCACUUAGCAUAAUGCCCUGAGGGUUCAUCCACAUUAUAGCAUGGGUCAGAAUUUUCUGCUUUUUAAGGUUGAAUAAUACUCUUUUGUUUGAGUGUACCAUAUCUUGCUUAUCCACUCAUCUCUUCAUGGACAUUUGGUUGUUUCCACCUUUUGACUAUUGUGAACAAUACUGCUGUGAACAUGGCUGUACAUGUAUCCUUUGGGUCCUCAUUUUUAAUUCCUUGGAGUUCAGUGUACUCCUAGAAUUGAAAUUCCCAGAACGUAUGGUGAUUCAAUUUUUAGAUGGAGAAAGGUGUGUUUCUUUCUGACUAUUAAUUUUGUUAUGCAGGUCUUCCCAACAGUACUCCUUUAUGACUCUUCUGGGAAUACUCACAGCACCAGGGUCUACCCAGGAGGUACUAGGCACUCUUGGGAGGUAGGCUGAGCACACGGCAGCAACAAGGGAAUGAUUCAUCUACCCUAAUUCAAGAGCCAACUAUGCCUUUUAUUUUAUACCUAUCUGAGUCUAGUCAGCGAAAGCAUGUCUCAAAUUAUUUCAUGGAAAAGAUUUCCUAAGCUCAUAGUCCACUUGUGAAAGGUGUACUCACACUCACCAUAGAUUUGCCCAUUGAUGCAGCACUUUUUAAAGGUCAUGAUAUUUUGUGUGAGUGUCCCCGUCUUAUCAGAGAAGAUGUAAUGGAUCUGCCCCAGCUGCUCAUUUAGCGUAGUGGUCCUAGCCUUUGCGGGUGUGUCCUUCUCAGAGUAGUACAUCUGCAGGUCCCAGUUAAUGAAGUGACUCUGUCCCAGACGAAUUAUUUCCACACUAUGAAGACAAAAGGUUAUGCUAUAUGGAGCACUUAGAUGUGAGUUGCAGGCGGUGAAUUUUUCUCACUUGUGUUUACAGGAAUGAGUUGUUUAUUUACUGCUACAGACUGAACGUUAGUACCCCUCAGCCCUACCCUCAACCCAUAUGUCACAACAGUCCUGAGGUUGGGCCUUUCAGAAGUAGUUAGGUCUGAGAGCAGAACCCUCAUGAAUGGGAUUAGCAUCCUUAUGCAAGGCUGUAAGGGAGCUUAUUUUCCCUUUUUGCCAUGUGAAAAUCCCAGAAGUUGCCAUUUAUGAAGCAGGGAGUCUGCACCAGACACCACCUAAGCUGCCUUUAACCUUAGAUUUCCCAGCCAAAAGAACUGUGAGCUGUAUAUUUCUGGUGUCUAUACAUUACUUGGUUUAAAGCCAGGGGUAGCUGUGCAUGCUUAUAAUCCUAGCACUUGGGAGGCUAAGGCAGAAGGAUCACAAGUUUGAGGCCAGCCUGGAUUAUACAAAACAAUAACUGUCUCCGCCACCCCCAAGUUAAUUGGUUUAACAUUAUUACAUUAUAGCAAUGAAAACAAAUAAAAAGGCCCUAUGUUUUUAUAACAUCUUCCGGGAUAUAAACCAUACUGUGGCCCAUGUGCUCACCCUUCAGGUGCCUCACUAAACAUGUCAUACUCCAGCUUCAGAGUCAAGAUGGCUUAAGAAUGAUAGUGUUCUUCAAAGCCAUUUUCUCCAUGUGAAUUCCUUCUCACUCAUGCACAUCAGGCCCUGGAGUUGCAUGUUCAGAACCAGGCCAAAAAAAUGGGCGACAAGAUGACCCCAUAGAAAAUGCCACAGGCAUGGCUGUCUCUUCCUUGUCAUUUCCUGUUGCACUUGGGACAACUGGGAUGUCUGCAUUGAUCUAUGUCCCCCAGGUAUAGGGCAAAGGAGAUGAGGGCACAUGAGGAGACAGACUGCCAUAUGCUCUCAAAUAGGGCAAUAGUCUUUUGCAAAUAACUCCUAAAUUGUUACCUCUGAUUGUGGAAAAAAAAAUAUAUAUUUUUUACUUUAAAAGAUUAUACAAUGUCUGAAAGAAGAUAUUCUAAAAAUACCUUCUCAAUUUUAAAACUAUAAGGGGCUAGGGAUGUAGCCGAGGGGUAGAGCAUUUGUGGAGCAUAUGUUUUUUCCUAGGUUCCUUCUGCAGUACCAAAACAAACAAACAAACAAACAACAACAACAACAACACAAAAACAAACUAAGAAUUAAAUAUAUUUCAAUAUUAGCUAUUUACAUGUGCAGGAAUUGUCAAGUAGGCAAUGGAUGCUAUUAUAACAGGUUAAAAAGAUAGAAAAAUAACUCACCUUCCCUUUUUCCCUUUUGUAAAUAUGCCCUGCUAAACACCCACACUGUACCAAGUACCAAGCAUACAUGAGUAAACAAGACAGAUGAAAUUCCUGCCAUUAAGCAGGUUACUUUGUAGUAAAGGCAACUACAUCAACAGAGUCAGUAAAUAGGUACUCUAUAGGUGCUGUAAGUUCUCUGCAGAAAAUCAAAGCAGACAAAGGGGAGAUGGAGACCAAGAGGGAAGAGAUGCAGUGGUUAAGAUCAGGUGGAUCUGGACAGCAGGGCUGAUAAAGGGACAUCUGAGCAAAGGCCUGCAGAAAAUGAAAUAGCAGCAUAUAGCUAUCUAAGAAAGAAUGUUCUAGGCAGAGAUAAGAGUAGGGACAAAGACCCUAGGGCAGAAGGAACAUCAAGGGACUGGGAGUGGCAGGGCCCUAGAAAGGCAGGCAGAUCCUGCUGGGUCUCAGGGUUGGUACUGUGGCCUCGGUGAUUCCAUUCUAAACGGGCUGGAAAGUACCCAUGGGGUAGUAGACAAACCAGAGAUGCUCUUUGGAAUGACUUAGUAUGACUUACACCUGAAAGAACCUUCAUUAAUAUCCAAGAGACAUAAAAGAAUUGCAGUAUAAUUAUCUUGCAGUAUAAGUUUUUUUGGUCUUUUUUUCUUUUUUAUCAGUACCAGGGAUUGAACUCACGACCACACACUUGUAAGGCAGACACUUAUGCCACUGAGCUAAAUCCUCAGCCCAUGCAGUAUAACUUUUUAACCCCAAAUUUAUAUAGUAUAGGGUUUAUUUUAUAGCAUACAUUGAUAAUUUCAUACAAAAUAAUCUGUGUGAUAGAUAGUGCUUUUAAGAAGUGUAACAGUCACUAUUUUUAGUCUUUAAAGGAGCUGGGGGACAGAUGGCUGCCCCAGGGCUUAUUUCCCAUCAGUAGAACAACAGUAAUUACAUAUAAUAAGAUUAAAAACAAAACAAAUGUACAUAUAAUAAAAUUAAAAGCUUCUAAUUAUAGGUGUGUGCGUGGUAGGGGAUCCCAUGUGCCUCUGGACUAUUAUUUACUGGAACUAAAAACUCCCUUUGACUGUAAAGUAUAUUCUAAGGCACAGUUCCUCCUUCAGAGGUGUAAAAUCCAAUUGGCCAGUGACAGUGAACUCUAAUAUGAAAGAAAAAGGAAGAAAUAUCUCCAAAGUGACUGACACAUGUCAGAGAUACAACCUUGAUCCUUUGUUGUAGUUGACUGACAAGGAGAUGAGCUGUAGAACCUCGUGAGAGGCUAGAGGAAGGCAAAACCCUCCUUCCCACCAGGGGGUAGUGACAGAGAGGUCUUAAGUGUGACAAGCAAAGGUAGGUGUGGCAGAUGGUAAUGGGCCAGGCUCAGCUAAGAGGGUGGGAUGCUGGGCCUUGGAACACACUAAGAAGGAACUGACCGUGACCUUUGACCUCUGAACACCAGAGCUUUAUCUGUAAUGAAAAUAAAUAGCAGGUGCCUGGCACCGACAGAUACUCCAAGGUUUCUUUUCUUCCCCUGGAUUACUAUCAGUUUUGAAAUAGCCGUUAUUUUCUUAUUUGUUCCUUUUGACCUUUGAAACAAUUAUUGCUAGACAGGAAGGUGCUAAAUUGGAACUAGAUACUGUAGUCUUCCAUGAAAGCAAGAGGCCAAGAAACAGGCUUACCUGACAUAGAGAGAGAUGGGCACCAUGGUGUUCAGAAUGAUGAUGUAGCCCCAGAAAUUCAGGAAUCCACGGUAGGAGGGCGUGGCAUUUUCUCCAUCAUAGAGGUACCAAGAGUAAUUGCCAACUUGCGCUUCCCAGUAAGCAUGACCAAUGGCAAGGCCAGCAGAAAGCAGGAUGAGAACAACGAAGAUCUACAAGAUAGGAAGCCAGGUCAAGUAUUCUAAGGGUGGAUUUCCAACCCUGUGCAUUUUAGAGCUAAUUAACCUAUUUUAUGAUUGUUUAUGAUAAUUUAAUAGUCUGCAAUAUGAAUGUACUGCAAAUAAAACAGUAUAAGAAUGGUUUGAAGUCUAUUUGAUGGUUAUGACUGAUUGGUUCAUUCGGUAUUAUACAUAUAUGGUGAGGUUUAUUCCCAGAAUUAUCUUUUAAAAGAGAUGGUAGUAGCCUAUAUUCAAAUCUUAAAGACUUUCAUAUUAUAGGCUAUGCUCUCAAUUAUUUUACCUUGGACUGUUUGGGAGGAUAGCUUUUCUUAGCAUGAGACAAUGUCAAAGUAUGAUAAACUAGGCUCCUUAUAAAAAUAUUGAAUGAUAAUAAUUUCUUGUUUAAAUGGAACCAUCACAUAUAUUUGAGUAAUUAUUUCUGAAAGUACAAUGUCUUAAAGACUGCAUUGUAUUGUAAAUAAGACCACUUGAGAAGGAAUACAAUAAUCCCUAUGUUGUGGAAAUGAUGAGUAUAUACUUAUGGGACAAAUUAAAACCAUCCUAGUUGUAUUUGUGUAUAGUAUUUGAAACUGGAAAUACAAUUUCCAGAGAGAAAAUUACAUUUCUAAACGUGCAUUUUCAAAAGUGCUAUGUGUCAAAACAACUUGGCACAGAAGACAGAUGAUGGACCCUUUGGGAGGGCUCUAGACAUGAUCACCACGGUGCAGUAAAGAUAAGCAUGUCAAGUUCAAGGAAAAUUUUCAUGAAACUGAAGCACAGAGAAAAAAGAGCUUUUCGUUAAAUUACUAUAUUACCUUUAUGUGACUUUCAAUAUGUGUGUACAGUAAAGCAUUAUAAUUAUAAGUCCCAAAGAGUUUGUAUAUUCAAAUUGAAUUAAAAAUUUGAGAAUAAGAAGUUGGAGGUCUGUUUAAUAUAUGGGCUCACCAUUAAAUAAAUAAAUAAAUAAAGCACCAAUACUGCAGAACUAAGACUGCUCUCCUCAAGAGGCCUUCUCCCAAGCUUGGCCUUUCUUUGGCAUCUGGGAUCUUCAAUUUUGAAAGGGUUUUCUAGUUCCUUAUUUCUUAAUCUCUGAUAAGAGUAGUUCACUGUGCCCAACAAGGCUGGCAGCACAGUUUAUGCUGACUACCUUGCAUGCCAGGCCGAUGGUGCCUACACAGUUAAAAAUCCUGGGCAAGAGUUUAGUGAGCUUCCCUGGAAGACAACAUUUCACAUGUGAUGUCAUGAAUCAUUGCUGGAGGGAAUUAAAUGACUCUUGUGUGUGAUAAGAGCCUAUGCGUGGUUACCCCUGGACUUUGCCCUGUGAGUCUUUUGCUCAAUUUGGUUUUUAUCAGUUUGCUGUAGUAAGUCCCAGCCAUGAGUAUAAUCAUACUGUAACUGCUAUGGGGCCUCCUGGACCAUCAUGGAACCUGGGUAUGGCCUGAAGACACUCUGCACCCUUUAUGUUUUGUCUUUCCUUAUAUUUGGACUUGUGCAGUACAUAUGGGACAAAAAAUGUUUUUAAGAAGACUAUCCUUAUGGAAAACUGAUAGCAAUAAAUAAAGCCCAAGAUUUUUCUACCCCAUCUACAGAGGCAUUUUUUUUUUUUUUGCAUUAGAGAGCUAAACAACAAAUUAGAGCAAAAGACAAUCUAGCUUCUCAUCUACUGAAAUGGAAAAUAAAUACCGUGUAAACCAUGUAGUUCAUCAAAUAAUCAAUUUUAGUUCUUUUAAAUCUGGUUUUCCCACUAUUCUUCAUUAUCUUAGUGUCAGCACCUAAAAAUGGAAAAUUCAAUCUGAUUAACAAUUGGGUAAAUCAAUUAACUAGCAUGUCAAUAUAAUCAUUCUUCCUUUGGUUCUGAUGAAAAAAGGACUGAAAAGCAAUUUCUUCCUUUAAAUCUUUUGGAUCAAACUCAUGAUCUUACACUUACCAGGCAAGUGCUUACAUUGCUGAGCUAACGCCCCGGCCCUCUUCCUUUAAAUCUUAAGAGCUCAUAGUGGAUCAAUUUCCCAAGAAAAACUCAAAGUACCUGCAAAAAUGACCAAUCCAUGGCAGAUAUCGGUGUUCCUAAUUACACAACCACGUAACAGAAUUUUAUCAGCAUCCAAAGGAAAACUUCUUUUUCUCCAAAAUAGUGUUCCUGUAAACUUAUCUAAUCGGUUGUUGGGUUCUUCACAUUCAAUAAAACCUUUAGGAAAGGUAUGAUUCACAUUAUUAAUCACAUAGGAAGGGUUUUCUGGUUUUAAUUAAUGGACUGAAUCAAGUAACUAAAAUUUAAAACAAAGUAAGACAUGUUUUGUACAAACCGUCAAAUAUUGCCAAGGUAUCCUCUCUUUGAAGGUAUUGGUCUGUGAUUUCAAGUGCCAUUUUGAAUUUUAAAUUGGUUUCUCUAAAGUGGGGAAAAAUAAUUACAAGAACACAAUUUAGACUUCAAAAGGGAUAUAAAAUAGCACAUACAAGGUAACAUUAAACACACUGAGACAUGAAGGCUAAAUCAUUAGUUUAUUCUCUCUCUCUCUUUUUUUUCUAGUUUUGGGAUUAAACCCAGUCUUACACAUAUUAGGCAAGUGCUUUACUGCUGAGCUACAUUUCCAGCCCUAACUUGCUCUAUCUUUAUACUCAUUGUUCAUCUUGAAACUCAGUUUGGGUGAGGUUACCCUCAAAACUAUAGAGAAAAAUUCUUGAUCUGAGAAAUGCUGGUUACCUUUACUGUUCGCUAUUGUAACACUUAGGACAAAACACCCAUAACAUCUUUCUCAUUGAUUUCUCAUUUCCUUCUUUCCUGUUAGCCAAACUGCUGUUUGAAAAUGUAGCUUCUAGUAUUUCACCACAAUAAGAUGAUUCAAACAAGUUUUUAUAUAUAUAGUUUUAUAUAUUUAUAUGAAAUAUAUAUUUAUAGUAUAUAUUUAUUUUACAUAAAUAUAUACUAUAAAUAUACUGUAUAGGCCAGGGAUUUAGUUCUGUGGCACUGCGCCUGUCUGGCAAACAUGAGGUCAUGAGUUCAAUCCCUUGUACAUACAUAUAUAUAUAUAUAUAUAUAUAUAUAUAUAUAUAUAUAAUAUUUAUGCUAUAUAUAAAUUCCCCAUGAUGAAUGAAUGCAUUUACUACUUAUUGCAAACAUACUAAUAAAAAAAAAAGGAAGGAAAAAAAUCCUGUAGGCAUUUUUUUAAACUUCUGGUCAAACUAUUUUCUAGAAGGAACAAGCAGAUUUGGGAAAGGAAGUGGCAGCCCCACCCCCAAUAUUUGGCCUGUCCCACCCCUAGUGCAAGGGAAGGUCACCGCGCAUGGACACAUGGGGGCAGGCCAGGAUGUGCACUCUCAGAGCAAGGCUGCUUUGUUACCAUGGAUAGCCCUUUAUGGGCCUCACAGAUACCCAGUCAAACAUCCCUACUUAUCAGGAAACUGACCAAUGGUUCCCAGCUCCACCACUCUGUUCUGACAGGGCCUGUUAAGAAUUCAUACUUUCAUAAGCCUUUAGAAUCUCUCAUCAGUGAGAUUAAUAGUUAUUCUGUAGCUGAGAUUGAAUUGUCAGCUGACUCAGCAACAGAGCAAGGAAAGGUCUAGGUUUUUAACUCAUGAUUUUAGCUCUGUGAAUAUGGCUUUGGGGUGUAAGAAACAAGGAACACAGAGAACAGGGUCCCUACUGCCACUUACUGUGUGACCUAGAGCAGGCUACUUCAUCUCUCUGGGCCUUGGUUUCCUCAUGGGUGAUCAAGGGAAUAAUUAAUAAUGCUCAUCUCAUGGAGUUGUUAAAAAGCUUAAACAAGCUAAAUAUAAUGUGCCUGCAACCUUGUACACAUCAAAUAAAUGUACUGAAAA